AUGGGAAGGACCGAGGGACGGCGGGAGGAAAGUGCGCAGGGCUCAGCUGGGGCUGUGUGUCUCGUAGCCCGCAUAAUCUCCAAGCAAGAAGACAUCAGCCAGUGCGAAGAAAGGGCCAGACGCAGGGCGCAUGCGCUCCAAGGCCAAAAGCGGACGUCCCCCCCACCCCGCCCCCCGCGCCUCCGGGCCGAGCUGCCCACUCAAAGCCUGCGGGCUCAGUGCUCAGGUGCAGAGGACAGAGCAAGAGACCAGCCGUGGUCCCUGUGCUGUCAGGGAGAAAGCCCUGCCAAUGGAUCCUUUCGGCAUACUCCAGUAAGAGAUGAAUUCUCCACUCCCCAAGGUACUGACAGCUUUGGCAACGCUCAUCCUGGAGCCAGGCUUCUUCGGACCAGCCCCGCCGCCCUGGAGUGGAAUCUGUGUACCUGGUGGUGCCGGGCGGGCUGGUGUCGGACGGUUGACUUGUGUUUGGAUCUCAGCGUCCUGCCGGCUCCUCCCUGCUGGCCUCCCCAGCCUCGCUCCUGGUCUUCAUCUACAGCUGCCGCCCGAGGCACUCGGGGUGGGGGGGUCCUGCACUGGGCCCGAUGGAACCUUGGUGUGGUUCACGUCUGGGCACUUGCAGGCCUUGUGCGCUCGGCUCCAUGCUGCUCCUCCGGCCUGGGGGCCCUGGCCUCCCCUGGGGCUCUGCAGAGCCAGCAGUUCCUGCCCCAGGGGUAGGAAGCCCUGUGUCAUCUGUGCCCCUGCCAACAGCCUAGUGGCCUGCGUGGCUAACAGGCUGCCAACACCCGCCCUGCUGUCCCAGAGCCUCUUCUCCCUGGUGCUGGCCCUGCGGGACGCCGUGGAGGUGACUGCACGUGGCCGCCUUCCUAGCCCACAUGUGAGCAGCGCUGUGGCUCCGGCCAUCCUCCUCUGGACCCGCUGCCGGCCAGCACUGGGGCUGCUGGCCUCGGCUGCCUGCCUCCUGGCAUUGCUGGCCGUGUGCUGGCAGAGAUGGUGAGUGCUGCGCACCGGGACAUCACCCUGAGCAGGGCCCCCCGGGCGCUGUCAGCUUGGUGCCCGGCUCCAAGAGGGUGCCGUUUGGCUCUGUCACCCGGCCCUGGGAUCCGAGGCCUGACGCUGGGUCCUGAGUCACAUCCCACAGCGGCCAAGCUGGCCAAGGCGAGGCAGGGUACCAGGGGCCCCGAGGUGGCCCUGGGAGGGUCCCAGGACACCAGGACAGGACCCCUUCCUGAAGAAGCACCCUGACCAGAGGCAGAAGAGGAGAGGUCGGGGUCAUCAGGGCCACCCCUGCCCAGGCCAGAGAGAGACUCAACGACAUGGAGCCCAUAGCUGAGUGAGACCUGCAGAAGCCGCUGAGGGGGAGCCAAAGGAACACGUCAUUCACCAGGACCAAGCAGGACCAUGCCACCCCUGCCCUGCUGACACCCAUGCCCGUGCCAGGCCUGCACUGACGCCACUCCUUUACCACGGCAACUGACCGAUCUGUCCCCAGGGAACCAAGCAGAUGCCCCAUGUCUACCUCAAAAGACACCCUCCCUGCCUACCACCCUCCAUGCCCCGCAUGGGCACCUGUGCCAGGGCGGAAGGAGCACCUCCCUCUGGCCCUGUGCUGAGUACCGUGCUUGAGCCACAGCACCAGGGCCGGGCGAUGGGACCGUUCAGAAGACUGCGGUGUGGGCGGGGCGGGUUACCCGGUUUCUCUGCCCCGGAGGGUCCUGGUGAUGCUGAGGGUAGCAAGGAUGUCAGUGGGCAAGGCCCUGGUCCUGCUGGCUCUGUCUCUUCCAGCUGACCCUGGGGCCCGCCUGGAUGCCAGCCUCUGGGGCCACCCCUUCUGCUGCCGGCUUUCCUGCUGGGGUUCUGGGUCCCCUGCCUCCUUCCACCCCUCCCCGCUGCUGCCACCGCCGGCAGCUACCACACGUCAGUGUCAGUGGGCAUUUUGACAGCUCCGGGGCGUGGCGUGGUAUUGAACCUCUGCAUUCAGCCAGAAGCUCCGCACCCUCUCAGAUUGGGGACAAAAUCUCUCAGGCGCCUCUAGAGCCAUUCCGUCAGGGCGUGCUCUCGGGAGCCUCUGUCCCAACCAGAUCCAAAAGCUGGUGGGGGGUGGGGGGUGUCUACACCUGGCUUUGGGACCUCCCUAUCCUCAGGAACUCCAGCUCCACGAUGAGCCUUGGGUCUCGCACAUGAUGUUACACGGCGCUCAUUUCACUGGGUCCUGGCAGAAAAAGCCGGGGCCCUGAGGGUUCUCUGCCCACUAGAUUUUAAUAAACAAACAAACUCUAUGGACUGUAUUACUGUGUAUGCUUAAGACAUUCUACGUGGCUUGCUGUCAGAUGUGGGCGCCGUGGAGGGUCCCUGAGGGAGCUCUAGCUACACGUCUAACAGGAGGAUCUAACAGGAUGCAGCCUCUGUAGCCCAUAGGCGGCAG
ensembl:lincRNA